rnacentral:rRNA from 1 species
GACAGAGGUGCCGAGCGUUAAUCGGAAUUACUGGGCGUAAAGCGUGCGCAGGCGGUUUUGUAAGCCAGAUGUGAAAUCCCCGGGCUUAACCUGGGAAUGGCAUUUGGGACUGCAAGGCUUGAGUGCGGCAGAGGAGACUGGAAUUCCUGGUGUAGCAGUGAAAUGCGUAGAUAUCAGGAGGAAUACCGAUGGCGAAGGCAGGUCUCUGGGCUGACACUGACGCUCAUGCACGAAAGCGUGGGGAGCAAACAGG